CGGCGGACGGGUGAGUAACGCGUGGGUAACCUGCCUCAUACAGGGGGAUAACAGUUAGAAAUGACUGCUAAUACCGCAUAAGACCACGGUACCGCAUGGUACAGUGGUAAAAACUCCGGUGGUGUGAGAUGGACCCGCGUUUGAUUAGCUAGUUGGUGGGGUAACGGCCUACCAAGGCGACGAUCAAUAGCCGACCUGAGAGGGUGACCGGCCACAUUGGGACUGAGACACGGCCCAA
rnacentral:rRNA from 1 species